rnacentral:rRNA from 1 species
UGGGGAAUAUUGGGCAAUGGGCGAAAGCCUGACCCAGCCAUGCCGCGUGAGUGAUGAAGGCCUUAGGGUUGUAAAGCUCUUUCACCGAUGAAGAUAAUGACGGUAGUCGGAGAAGAAGCCCCGGCUAACUUCGUGCCAGCAGCCGCGGUAAUACGAAGGGGGCUAGCGUUGUUCGGAUUUACUGGGCGUAAAGCGCGCGUAGGUUGUGCUAUAAGUCAGUGGUGAAAUCCCGGAGCUUAACUUCGGAACUGCCAUUGAAACUGUAGUGCUAGAGUCCCAGAGGGGGUAGCGGAAUUCCAAAUGUAGGGGUGAAAUCCGUAGAUAUUUGGAGGAACACCGGUGGCGAAGGCGGCUACCUGGAUGGGCACUGACACUGAGGCGCGAAAGCGUGGGGAUCAAA